AUGUUCAAAAAUGAGUACCAGGGAGGUGCAUUUGUUGAAAUCUUUAGUGCCCAGGGUAAAAAUCCUGGAGCAAAAUGGAAGAUCCUCGGCAGUCCAUCUGUGAUUUGGAAAGAAUUUGAUAAAGAAGUUAAAAGUUUUGUGUUUGUACUGGAAGGCAGCAGCCAAACAAAUAAAAUACAGUUACCAAAGGAGAAUAAGCAAAUCCUUGGACUGAUCCAGAGGUUUCUUGUACUUCAGAUUUACAUACCCCUGGGACAAGACUUCUCUACUGAAUUGCUAAUUACUGAUUUGAGGAACAUAAAAAGAAGAUUGUAUUUAUCUACAGUCCAUAAGGAAUUGUCUUCAACCCCUCUUCAUGCAAAAAUCCCACUCUUCAUGAUCAAGCGCAGAAUUUGGUGCAAUCUAUGCAUUGACUUGGUGGCAUUUACCAAUGAAAUAUUCAAAGGAGCAGUUUUCCAGUCACUGGAUGGAAUUACUGUCUCAGCGAACUGUAAGCUACGAAAGAUCUUCACUUUAAAAUACAAGCCUCAAGACACUGCUGAUAAAGAUGCUGGACAUGAUGCUUCCUUUCCAACAGAUGAACGUAUAGACAUUAUUCCACGAAGCUGCCAACUAACGACAGAUGUUCCACAAGUCACACAGCUGCUAAACAUGACUAAACUCCGCCAAACUGAAAUAAAAUUUGGAGGUCAUCCUCUGAGUCCAGCAGAAUCAGAUCAGUUCAUUAACAGAGGAACAGUUAGCAUGCGGAACGGUAAACAUCAAGAUGUUUGCCAUAUUGCCUUUGGAUCCAAAGUUCUUGGACCGCCUCCACUCUCUGGCAGAAGAAAUAACAUGAGGCUAUCCAGUGAGACAGUAAAAUCUAUUGGGUCCAAAAGUAACCGAUUAUGCCAGCAGUCUACAGUAGAGAAGUGUGUUAACAGUGCAGAAAUGUCAACCUUGCUGUUAUCUGAGUCUGAGGCACAAGGAGAUAAAGAAAAUAUUGGCCAAAUAAAGCAGACUGUACCUGUUCUUGCCAGUCUGCAUAUUAUGCAUCCACAUCCCCCUCAAGAACCAUCAGCCGAUAAGAAUAAUAACAGGAGAAGAUUACGGUUAAAAAGCACCAGCAGAGAAAGGACAGACACCUCCAACGGCAAUUCUUCAGACAAUAAAAGGAGUGAUGAACAUAAAGCAGCAACUGUCCUCACCACUAUGUCCCAGCAAAGAGCAGAGAUAUUGAACCCCAGCUCUCCAGUACCCCAGUCUCCUGAUCAAGCAGAUGAGUGGGUAUUUCCCGAAAAUGGCGAUCACAUCCCCUAUUUGGCCUCUACCACACAGUCUCUACUUUUGAAUGAAGACUCCUGCCAUACUUCAUGCCUGUGGCUAGAAGCCAGCAAGGAAAGUGAACAGGAUCAACAGACAGAGGAAACCCAGAUUGUUCCAAAGGAUGUUUUCACUUUUUCAUCCAGACCACGAUCAGCACCUCAUGGAAAGACGCAGAGUGUGUCCCCCGAAGGGUGCCCGUUUACUUUGGAUCUAAAAGAAGAUACCAGUGUGACAAGGAGUGACACCCAAACAGAGGAAGAUUUUUAUGGUGGUGACAGCAACGAAGAGGAUAACCACAGUGUCCAGGGUUCUCCAGGCCCAACAACUAGUCCUCCAGGGUUAACUCAGUUAACAUUAGAGAGCAUGCUGGGGAAGGCUGCAAAGUGUGCAAGUAAAGAAUAUCUAAAAAAUGCUUAUGCAGAAGGAAGAACUUCAGAACACCAGAAUUCCUUGGUGAAGCAGAUAGAUAUAAAAGACUUUGAAACGAGUUUUGUGCCUACACCAUCCCUUUCUCCACCUGGAAGACAUGAGUCCUCUCCGAAAAUUCCAGAUCUUAUUAUUAAAGCAAAGGACCUACCAGCCCAUCAAGUGUCAGCUUCAAUAAACAAAACCUUCCUAAAGGAAAUUUCAGAGGAGAAGUUGAAACCAGUUGCUGAGUUAUCUGAGUAUGACUGGAGAAACUAUCAGCCCAGUGAGAUUAGUGAAUCUGAGUUGCAAAUGCUCGCCAGCCUACGGCGGCAACAGAAUGAAGAACUGGAGGACACUGGGGCUCCCUAUGGCCUGAGCGCAUCCCAGGUUGACAACUGUAAUGUCAGCAUAAGCACCAGCAGUGACGACACAACCACGUGGAACUCCUGCCUGCCACCUCCUGUCAACCAGGGCCGUCACUAUCAGAAAGAAAUGAACCCACCUUCUCCUUCUAACCCCCGGGACUGGUUAAAUAUGCUGAGCCCACCGAUUGUUCCUCCCAGUCAACAGUCCGCAGAGCGGCAUCAGGAUUCUUCUGGAAGCUCGAGUGUUCAAGAGCCGUCACAUCCGCAGCGCUCCUGCCUCCCAGCGUUGAUGUCCCGCCCACACGAGGAUGGUCCUCCAGGACAAAUGGUGAAGAGGAGCUGA
rnacentral:lncRNA from 1 species